GGAGCGUACGUUUCGCUUCGUGAUUGCCAUGUGCACAGCACCAUGCAAUAUUUACUCCCCGUCUAGUCGCCAGCGUGCCCAGGCUUUCUCUUUUCGACGCUACAUGCGUAGAAGAAACAGCUGCGAAACGGGUUCCCAAAGGCGAACUUGCGUGGACAACGAUUCUUAACGGGUCCCACAAGAGGCCCUCACCCCGCCCUUUACCUGGUAGCCUGAGCGAAGGAUGAAAAGGUGGGGAACAACGACGACAAUACGGGAGUCACAGUUAAUUAAUUAGACGUUUAACUCGAAUCAAACCACCACCCAUCCAUCAGCGCCUAUCCAGAAGUCAACGCAGCGUGGACAACGAUUCUUAACGGGUCCCACAGAAGGCCCUCACCCCGCCCUUUACCUGGCGGCCUGAGCGAAGGAUGAAGAGGUGGGGAACAACGUCGACGACCUGAGAGGCGCAGGUUGCUUUCUUGCCACGUAUUCCAAACCAGCCUCUUCGGGGGCGGAGUUACUGCGGGUUAUUGCGUGGUAUCGCAACGGAGUCGACGAUGCUGAAUUGCUGCAGGACAGUCUUCAGAUUCCCUAGUCGACUCGCCUAGAGAAGACGACGGGAUUGAAAUCGGAUACUUCGAGAGUGAGGACAGAGGGUCUUGAUGUGAACUCGGACGUUUAACAUGCUCCUGCAUGGAGUGGGCUUCCGUACUGGAGCCGUGUAACUAAGCCAAUAAAUCAUUUUCCUUCAUUUUCUACAA